rnacentral:piRNA from 1 species
UUGGCCUAGGAUGUGGCUAGAGAACGGAGC